AGAGUUUGAUCCUGGCUCAGAACGAACGUUGGCGGCGUGGAUUAGGCAUGCAAGUCGAACGAAUGCUAGUUUUGUAGUAAUACAGAGCUAGCGAAAGUGGCGAAAGGGGCAGUAAUGCAUGGGUAACGUACCUUGGGGUUGGGCAUAGCCGUUCUAACGGACGGGUAAUUCCCAGAGAUUCGACGGGAGGGCAUCCUUCUGUCGGGAAAGAAUUUCGCCUCGAGAGCGGCCCAUGUGCUAUUAGCUAGUUGGUGAGGUAACGGCUCACCAAGGCUAAGAUGGCUAGCGGGUGUGAGAGCACGACCCGCGCCACUGGCACUGAGACACUGGCCAGACACCUACGGGUGGCUGCAGUCGAGGAUCUUCGUCAAUGGGCGCAAGCCUGAACGAGCGACGCCGCGUGCGCGAUGAAGGCCUUCGGGUUGUAAAGCGCGAAAGUGGGGAUAAAACCGCAAGGUUGAUAGAUCCACAGUAAGGACGGGCUAAAUUCGUGCCAGCAGCCGCGGUAAU
rnacentral:rRNA from 1 species